rnacentral:tRNA from 1 species
AGGCCGUUAGUCUAACAUAAGAUUGCUGAUUUCGGCUCAGCAGAACAUGGUUAAAAUCCAUGACCGCCUU